AGAGUUUGAUCCUGGCUCAGGAUGAACGCUAGCGGCAGGCUUAAUACAUGCAAGUCGAGGGGCAGCGGGAGUAGCAAUACUUGCCGGCGACCGGCGCACGGGUGCGUAACGCGUAUGCAACCUACCUUUAACCGGAGGAUAGCCCCGAGAAAUCGGGAUUAAUACUCCAUAACAUUAUGAAGAGGCAUCUCUUUAUAAUUAAAGCUCAGGCGGUUUUAGAUGGGCAUGCGUGACAUUAGCUAGUUGGUGAGGUGACGGCUUACCAAGGCUACGAUGUCUAGGGGUUCUGAGAGGAUUAUCCCCCACACUGGUACUGAGACACGGACCAGACUCCUACGGGAGGCAGCAGUAAGGAAUAUUGGUCAAUGGGCGCAAGCCUGAACCAGCCAUGCCGCGUGAAGGAUGACGGCCCUAUGGGUUGUAAACUUCUUUUGUACGGGAAAAAACCCUCGUUCGUGAACGGGGCUGAUGGUACCGUAAGAAUAAGCAUCGGCUAACUCCGUGCCAGCAGCCGCGGUAAUACGGAGGAUGCAAGCGUUAUCCGGAUUCAUUGGGUUUAAAGGGUGCGUAGGCGGGAUAAUAAGUCAGUGGUGAAAUCCUACAGCUUAACUGUAGAACUGCCAUUGAUACUGUUAACCUUGAGUACAUUUGAAGUGGGCGGAAUGUGUCAUGUAGCGGUGAAAUGCUUAGAUAUGACACAGAACACCGAUAGCGAAGGCAGCUCACUAAACUGUAACUGACGCUGAGGCACGAAAGCGUGGGGAUCAAACAGGAUUAGAUACCCUGGUAGUCCACGCCGUAAACGAUGAUUACUCGAUGUGUGCGAUACACUGUACGCGUCUGAGCGAAAGCAUUAAGUAAUCCACCUGGGGAGUACGGUCGCAAGAUUGAAACUCAAAGGAAUUGACGGGGGCCCGCACAAGCGGAGGAGCAUGUGGUUUAAUUCGAUGAUACGCGAGGAACCUUACCUGGGCUUAAAUGGGAGAGGACUGCUGCCGAAAGGUGGCGUUCCGCAAGGACCUCUUUCAAGGUGCUGCAUGGCUGUCGUCAGCUCGUGCCGUGAGGUGUUGGGUUAAGUCCCGUAACGAGCGCAACCCCUAUCUUUAGUUGCCAUCAGGUAAUGCUGGGAACUCUAAAGAAACUGCCUACGCAAGUAGUGAGGAAGGUGGGGAUGACGUCAAGUCAGCACGGCCCUUACGUCCAGGGCUACACACGUGCUACAAUGGCAAGUACAGAGGGUCGCUACCUGGUGACAGGAUGCUAAUCUCAAAAACUUGUCUCAGUUCGGAUCGAAGUCUGCAACUCGACUUCGUGAAGUUGGAUUCGCUAGUAAUCGCGCAUCAGCAAUGGCGCGGUGAAUACGUUCCCGGGCCUUGUACACACCGCCCGUCAAGCCAUGGGAGUUGGGGGUACCUGAAGCCGAUAACCGCAAGGAGUCGUCUAGGGUAAAACCAAUGACUGGGGCUAAGUCGUAACAAGGUA
rnacentral:rRNA from 1 species